GUGGGGAAUAUUGCACAAUGGAGGAAACUCUGAUGCAGCGACGCCGCGUGAAUGAUGAAGGCCUUCGGGUCGUAAAAUUCUGUCCUUGGGGAAGAUAAUGACGGUACCCAAGGAGGAAGCCCCGGCUAACUACGUGCCAGCAGCCGCGGUAAUACGUAGGGGGCGAGCGUUGUCCGGAAUUAUUGGGCGUAAAGGGUUCGCAGGCGGUCUGAUAAGUCAGAUGUGAAAGGCUAUGGCUUAACCAUAGUAAGCAUUUGAAACUGUCAGACUUGAGUUAAGGAGAGGAAAGUGGAAUUCCUAGUGUAGCGGUGAAAUGCGUAGAUAUUAGGAGGAAUACCAGUGGCGAAGGCGACUUUCUGGACUUAUACUGACGCUGAGGAACGAAAGCGUGGGGAGCAAACAGGAUUAGAAACCCUAGUAGUCC
rnacentral:rRNA from 1 species